AGAGUUUGACUCCUGCUCAGGACACGCUGGCGGCUGCUUUACACAUGCAAGUCGAACGAUGAAGGGUGCUUGCAUCCUGGAUUAGUGGCGAACGGGUGAGUAACACGUGAGUAACCUGCCCCAGACUCUGGGAUAACUUCGGGAAACCGGAGCUAAUACUGGAUAUCACUUCCCUGCGCAUGUGGGGUUGUUGAAAGGGUUUCUGGUCUGGGAUGGGCUCGCGGCCUAUCAGCUUGUUGGUGGGGUGAAGGCCUACCAAGGCGAUGACGGGUAGCCGGCCUGAGAGGGUGACCGGCCACACUGGGACUGAGACACGGCCCAGACUCCUACGGGAGGCAGCAGUGGGGAAUAUUGCACAAUGGGCGAAAGCCUGAUGCAGCGACGCCGCGUGAGGGAUGACGGCCUUCGGGUUGUAAACCUCUUUCAGUAGGGAAGAAGCCUUCGGGUGACGGUACCUGCAGAAGAAGCGCCGGCUAACUACGUG
rnacentral:rRNA from 1 species